rnacentral:rRNA from 1 species
UACGAAGGGGGCUAGCGUUGUUCGGAAUCACUGGGCGUAAAGCGCACGUAGGCGGAUCGUUAAGUCGGGGGUGAAAUCCUGAGGCUCAACCUCAGAACUGCCUUCGAUACUGGCAAUCUCGAGUCCGGAAGAGGUUGGUGGAACAGCUAGUGUAGAGGUGAAAUUCGUAGAUAUUAGCUAGAACACCAGUGGCGAAGGCGGCCAACUGGUCCGGUACUGACGCUGAGGUGCGAAAGCGUGGGGAGCAAACAGG